rnacentral:rRNA from 1 species
GACGAACGCUGGCGGCGUGCCUAAUACAUGCAAGUCGAGCGGACCUCUUCGGAGGUCAGCGGCGGACGGGUGAGGAAGACGUGGGUAAUCUGCCUUUCAGACCGGAAUAACGCCCGGAAACGGGCGCUAAUGCCGGAUACGCCCGCGAGGAGGCAUCUUCUUGCGGGGAGAGGCCCAAUGGGGCCGCUGAGAGAGGAGCCCGCGGCGCAUUAGCUCGUUGGCGGGGUAACGGCCCACCAAGGCGACGAUGCGUAGCCGACCUGAGAGGGUGACCGGCCACACUGGGACUGAGACACGGCCCAG